rnacentral:rRNA from 1 species
UACGUAGGGGGCUAGCGUUGUCCGGAUUUAUUGGGCGUAAAGAGCUUGUAGGCGGUCUGUCGCGUCUGCUGUGAAAAUCCGGGGCUCAACCCCGGACUUGCAGUGGGUACGGGCAGACUAGAGUGUGGUAGGGGAGACUGGAAUUCCUGGUGUAGCGGUGAAAUGCGCAGAUAUCAGGAGGAACACCGGUGGCGAAGGCGGGUCUCUGGGCCGAUACUGACGCUGAGGAGCGAAAGCGUGGGGAGCGAACAGG